UACGUAGGAGGCAAGCGUUGUCCGGAAUCACUGGGCGUAAAGCGCCGUGUAGGUGGAAGAGGAAGUCUGCUGUGAAAGCGCCUGGCUUAACCGGGCGAGGUCGGUGGAAACUCCUCAUCUAGAGGUCGGUAGAGGGGGGGUGGAAUUCCGGGUGUAGUGGUGAAAUGCGUAGAGAUCCGGAGGAACACCUGUGGCGAAGGCG
rnacentral:rRNA from 1 species